rnacentral:lncRNA from 7 species
GGUAAGUUUGUGCCACAACCUUUGAGCAGAGUUUAUUGCUGAGUGAGGAUGCAUAGCAGCACCUCAGUGAAAAGAUCACACUGCAACUGCACACGGUAAUGCUCCUUUGUGAAGCUGCAAUGAAAUCACUGAGGAUAAAAGCAACCCCCUGCCCUGCUCCCAGAAUUGUGACACUUUCCCAUUUACUGUCGUCUGGCUUCCUUGGCUGGACUUCAAUUCAGGUUGCCUUCUUUGUCUUAAUUUGCCUCUGGUAUUUUGAUCAAAAGCCUUCAAAGGAAGAACAGUGUAGCAAUGAAUUCUGACAUGCAUGCAGAAAAAUCAUUUUAAAAGAAGUUGGAAAAUAGUACUCAUCUAACGUUGACUGCAUUAUAAGAUGCAAGACAUCUCUUUGAUCUGAAGAGUCUUCAGUGGGAUUUGUCAGCAGUCUGCUUAAUGUCUUAGGUCUGGCAUGCACAGACAUGCAAAAUCAUAGUACAAUUUUUGAAGACAGCACUAAUUGUUAAGGUUCUUGUUGGAAAGACACUGCAAUGUGGAUUAAAGCUAUAUGGCUGUCCUACUGCAAACAGUUUAUCAGAUCUGUUAAAUCUUUUCUUUAUGUCUGCAUUUUAUAUCUAGGCUAUUUUAAUUUCUGCUGUCUUCGUAAUUCCUAAUGUCAUUCUCUCCUUGCUUUUGGAGGAUAUUUUACCUUCUGUUGUUAUCACUGCUUUAUGGUGAUUUCUGUUAGCUGUCACAGAAAGAGGUGCAAGACCAACGUUACAGUGCUAGGUAGCAGAAGGGAAAGAAGUUCUUGUUGCAUUUUUUAAUUUAUCUGCCAGUUUCCAGCUGUUCCUUCCCUCUCUUCUGAUUAGGUGUUGCAACAGCAAAACUGUCCUCUUCUCCCCCUAAUCUUUCAAAGCAUUUAUUUCCAACCCUUUCCAAAAUGGCCAGGCACCUGCUGUCCUCUAUUUCCUGCUCAAAACAUCUUAUCUGUCCUAGCCUGGAACCUGAGCAAUCCUGGGCGUAUCAGGAACUUGCAUGGGAGCCACCAGCAGUAAAAAUGCCUUAAUGUUUUACGAUGGGUGUGGAUUCCAGGAACCAGCAGCACAGCAGAGGAUUAGUGAUUGAGUUACUGGCAAGCUCAUCGUGCCGAACAGCAAGCUGAGAGGCUCUGUUUGUAUACCCUCAAUGGUCAUCUAGCAAGACAGAGAAGAAUCAUAAUUCCUAGGAUCACUAAACUUUUAUGGUAUGGAAAAGUAGUUCAGCAUUCAGAAUGCUGCAGUUUUGGCACAUAACAUAGCAGUGCCUCUGGUCCUCAUGGUAUCCUGCAGACUGAUCUCUGGAUGCUAGACCCCAAGCUUGGUAUGCACGUGGCAGUUGUUAAGCUACAAGCUGAGCCUGCCUCAAAUGAUGGGAGUGAUGUUUAAGCUGCAGCAUAUGUGCAAGAAAAUAAAUCGAGCUGUUUGGAAAUACUAUAAUAAUCAGUGACCAGGAAAGAUAGAUAGCUGUCCAGGGAGGUGUGUGUAAAUGGAUCUUAGCUUGCUAUGAGGGAUGAAUUGAGAUGCUUGCUAAUUGUUUUCUUCAGUCAUGAAUGUCGUUUCUUAAAAGCAAACUGCAAAGUGCAUUUUAAUGCCUCAUCCUUUAAUUCUAUACUGUUUCCCCUUCUUCUCUCCCUGUAAAUGCAAUGGCUUGUAGGCUUGAUGGUACUUAAUUUGUACAUUUUUGCUUAAUUUGAUGAGCUGUAAGUGCUUCUUUAGCCUACUGUGAGCGUUCAGUAAUCCGAAGUGGCUGUGAAGUAUAUAAGACCUGGUUCAGCUUCAUCGUGCCUGAUUAAAACAGAAAUAAUGUAUU